GACGAACGCUGGCGGCGUGCUUAACACAUGCAAGUCGAACGGAAAGGCCCUGCUUUUGUGGGGUGCUCGAGUGGCGAACGGGUGAGUAACACGUGAGUAACCUGCCCUUGACUUUGGGAUAACUUCAGGAAACUGGGGCUAAUACCGGAUAGGAGCUCCUGCUGCAUGGUGGGGGUUGGAAAGUUUCGGCGGUUGGGGAUGGACUCGCGGCUUGUCAGCUUGUUGGUGGGGUAGUGGCUUACCAAGGCUUUGACGGGUAGCCGGCCUGAGAGGGUGACCGGCCACAUUGGGACUGAGAUACGGCCCAGACCCCUACGGGGGGCAGCAGGGGGGAAUUUUGCAAAAUGGGCGGAAGCCUGAUGCAGCAACGCCGCGUGGGGGAUGACGGCCUUGGGGUUGUAAACCGCUUUCGCCUGUGACGAAGCGGGGGUGACGGUAAUGGGUAAAGAAGCACCGACAAACUACGU
rnacentral:rRNA from 1 species